rnacentral:rRNA from 1 species
UACGUAGGGACCGAGCGUUGUCCGGAAUCAUUGGGCGUAAAGGGUCCUGAGGCGGUUUGCUAAGUCUACUGUGAAAGAUCAGGGCUCAACCCUGAAGAUGCGGUGGAAACUGGCAGGCUAGAAUACGGUAGGGGCAGGGGGAAUUCCCGGUGUAGCGGUGAAAUGCGUAGAUAUCUGGAAGAACACCAGUGGCGAAAGCGGCUCUCUGGUCCGGACCUGACGCUGAGGCGCGAAAGCGUGGGGAGCAAACAGG